UUUUUUUUUUUGCUGUUGUUUAAUCAUUCCCUUCAGAUAAAGGCUAAAAUUCUCCAUCAAAGAAAUAACAGGGUGGAAAAGAAUGUGAGCCAAAAACCCGGCUUAGAGUUGAGGUUAGAAAUUUAAAUACAUCUAAUACCAAAGCAGGGCUAGUUCUAAUUAAAUGAACUCAACUGCCUUUCACUCCAUAGUUACCAGUCAUCAUGGCUAAUCUUUACGCUAAUAGUCAGGGACAGGGGGACUAAAGGAACAACAAACAGAUGAGGCUGGUUUCAAAUGCAGCAUAGGAACCCACAAUGAUGUUGGUCAUCCGAUGACUGAUUCAAAGACUCAGCCCGCAUGAAUUCAAUGGGAAGGAUUAGUGGACGGAAAAGCACAUGGCUUAGCAUUUGUGCCCAAUGCUCAGUCAUCCAACAUUCUUAUAACCACAAAAUGUCAGAACUAGGAAAGAACCUAGUGUUCUUCUAGCCCAAUAACUUCAUCUCACAGAGGCAUAAAGAAAUCAAGCGACACUUGAAAGGCUAUUAAAUUAUCAGUGGCAGAGUUUAGUUAAUACGCUGUCUUCUAACUCCUACUUCUGUACUAUUGCCUUUAUUCCAUGUGGCACUGCGAACAUUUAACUGAUAUUUGAUUAAAUAUGUAACAUCCAUUGUUGCAUCUUAUUUGUAUAUAUCUUAUUUACUAUAUUUUAUUUCUUUUGUCUAAAAAAGAAAAAGUU
rnacentral:lncRNA from 1 species